CAACAGGGAAGUACUUUGGAGGAAUGGGGUUCUGAGCAGAGGUGGGAGGAGGUGGGAAGGACAGGGAUGGUGUGACUCUGCAGGACCUCCCUCCUGCCUUGAGGCCUCGGCAGGCACCGCUGGGGGCUCCAGGCCUGGUCAGUGCAGUCACGGCUUCUCGGGCAGGGCCUUGGGGGCGGUAGAGCAAGGACACAAGACACAGCCCUCACAGCUGGUAGCAGAAUGGGGGCUGCAGAUGGAGUUUUUGCUGUUGUUACCCAGACUGGAGUGCAAUGGCACGAUCUCAGCUCACCUCAACUUCCGCUUCCCGGGUUCAAGUGAUUCUCCUGCCUCAGCCUCCUGAGCAGCUGAGACUACAGGUGCGCACCACCAUGCCCAGCUAAUUUUUUUUGUAUUUUUUUAAAUUGCAUUUUAGGUUUUGGGGUACAUGGGCAGAACAUGCAAGAUAGUUGCAUAGGUACACACAUGGCAGUGUGUUUUGCUGCCUUCCUCCCCUUCACCCACAUUUGGCAUUUCUCCCCAGGCUAUCCCUCCCCAGCUCCCCGCCCCCACGCUGUCCCUCCCCUAUUCCCCCCAAUAGACCCCAGUGUGUAGUACUCCCUUCCCUGUGUCCAUGUGUUCUCAUUGUUCAUCACCCACCUAUGAGUGAGAAUAUGCGGUAUUUCAUUUUCUGUUCUUGUGUCAGUUUGCUGAGAAUGAUGUUCUCCAGAUUCAUCCAUGUCCCUACAAAGGACAUGAACUCAUCGUUUUUGAUUGCUGCAUAAUAUUCCAUGGUGUAUAUGUGCCACAUUUUCCCUGUCCAGUCUAUCAUCGAUGGGCAUUUGGGUUGGUUCCAGGUCUUUGCUAUUGUAAACAGUGCUGCAAUGAACAUUCGUGUACAUGUGUCCUUAUAGUAGAACAAUUUAUAGUCCUUUGGAUAUAUACCCAGUAAUAGGAUUGCUGGGUCAAAUGGAAUUUCUAUUUCUAAGGCCUUGAGGAAUCGCCACACUGUCUUCCACAAUGGUUGAACUAAUUUACACUCCCACCAACAGUGUAAAAGUGUUCCUUUUUCUCCACAUCCUCUCCAGCAUCUGUUGUCUCCAGAUUUUUUAAUGAUCACCAUUCUAACUGGCGUGAGAUGGUAUCUCAAUGUGGUUUUGAUUUGCAUCUCUCUAAUGACCAGUGAUGAUGAGCAUUUUUUCAUAUGAUUGUUGGCCUCAUAUAUGUCUUCUUUUGUAAAGUGUCUGUUCAUAUCCUUUGCCCACUUUUGAAUGGGCUUGUUUGUUUUUUUCCUGUAAAUCUGUUUUAGUUCUUUGUAAAUUCUGGAUAUCAGCCCUUUGUCAGAUGGGUAAACUGCAAAAAUUUUUUCCCAUUCUGUUGGUUGCCGAUUCACUCUAGCGACUGUUUCUUUUGCCGUGCAGAAACUGUGGAGUUCGAUUAGGUCCCAUUUGUCUAUUUUGGCUUUUGUUGCCAAUGCUUUUGGUGUUUUGUUCAUGAAGUCCUUGCCUGCUCCUAUGUCCUGAAUGGUUUUGCCUAGAUUUUCUUCUAGGGUUUUUAUGGUGCCAGGUCUUAUGUUUAAGUCUUUAAUCCAUCUGGAGUUAAUUUUAGUGUAAGGUGUCAGGAAGGGGUCCAGUUUCUGCUUUCUGCACAUGGCUAGCCAGUUUUCCCAACAUCAUUUAUUAAACAGGGAAUCCUUUCCCCAUUGCUUGUUUUUGUCAGGUUUAUCAAAGAUUGUAUGGUUGUAGAUAUGUUGUGUUGCCUCCGAUGCCUCUGUUCUAUUCCAUUGGUCUAUAUCUCUGUUUUGGUACCAGUACCAUGCUGUUUUGAUUACUGUAGCCUUGUAGUAUAGUUUGAAGUCCAGUAGUGUGAUGCCCCCCGCUGUGUUCUUUUUGCUUAGAAUUGACUUGGCUAUGCGGGCUCUCUUUUGGUUCCAUAUGAAGAUCAUGGUGGUUUUUUCCAGGUCUGUGAAGAAAGUCAAUGGUAGCUUGAUGGGGAUAGCAUUGAUUCUGUAAAUUACUUUGGGCAGUAUAGCCAUUUUCACAAUAUUAAUUCUUCCUAACCAUGAACAUGGAAUGUUUCUCCAUCUGUUUGUGUCCUCUCUUAUUUUGUUGAGCAGUGGUUUGUAGUUUUCUUUGAAGAGGUCCCUUACGUUCCUUGUAAGUUGUAUUCCUAGGUAUUUUAUUCUUUUUGUAGCAAUUGUGAAUGGCAGUUUGUUCUUGAUUUGGCUUUCUUUAAGUCUGUUAUUGGUGUAGAGGAAUGCUUGUGAUUUUUGCACAUUGAUUUUAUAUCCUGAGACUUUGCUGAAGUUGCUUAUCAGUUUCAGGAGUUUUUGGGCUGAGGCAAUGGGUCUUCUAGGUAUACUAUUAUGUCGUCUGCAAAUAGAGACAAUUUGGCUUCCACCUUUCCUAUUUGAAUGCCCUUUAUUUCUUUUU
rnacentral:lncRNA from 1 species